CGUACACUCCUGCGGGAGGCAGCAGUGGGGAAUAUUGCACAAUGGGCGCAAGCCUGAUGCAGCCAUGCCGCGUGUAUGAAGAAGGCCUUCGGGUUGUAAAGUACUUUCAGCGGGGAGGAAGGCGAUAAGGUUAAUAACCUUGUUGAUUGACGUUACCCGCAGAAGAAGCACCGGCUAACUCCGUGCCAGCAGCCGCGGUAAUACGGAGGGUGCAAGCGUUAAUCGGAAUUACUGGGCGUAAAGCGCACGCAGGCGGUCUGUCAAGUCGGAUGUGAAAUCCCCGGGCUCAACCUGGGAACUGCAUUCGAAACUGGCAGGCUAGAGUCUUGUAGAGGGGGGUAGAAUUCCAGGUGUAGCGGUGAAAUGCGUAGAGAUCUGGAGGAAUACCGGUGGCGAAGGCGGCCCCCUGGACAAAGACUGACGCUCAGGUGCGAAAGCGUGGGGAGCAAACAGGAUUAGAUACCCGAGUAGUCCC
rnacentral:rRNA from 1 species